rnacentral:tRNA from 1 species
GAGGGUAUAGCUCAGUGGUAGAGCACAAGCUUAGCAUGCACAAGGUCCUGGGUUAAAUCCUCAGUACCUCCA